rnacentral:lncRNA from 1 species
AUGGUGACCUCAAAGACAGGAUGGCUGCUCUGGCUAAGGAUGCGGGCAAAGAGGACAGAGCUACUGUACUUAAAUGUUUACAAUAUAGAUUGGAAACCACAUCGAAUAUGCAUAAAACAGUUGGAGAAUAAUCAAAUGGUAAACUCUGCCACAGAGUUUCCCUACGCCAAAGCAUUUCAGAGAAGAAAGGAGACCCGGAGAGAUCCCAUGAUCCUUUCAGGACUGCACAAAUUCAAAACAAUUUCCAUAAUAACACUAACAUGGCAUUUUAUGUUUUUACUCUUAUAUCCUCACAAGUAUACAGUUGAGAUCUUUGGAAAAUAUAUGAUGUGGGAUAUUGCAACAAAUUGAAUCCAGAAUCAGAUAAGAAAAUCCAGCUGUCUUCUAUUAAACCAGACAUUAAAGAGAUUUGUGAAAAUGUAAAACAAUGCCAUUCUCAGUAAAAAUGUUUUUGAUUUGAGCAUUAAAAGUCUUCUUAUUAAAAAAAAUACGUUUACAUUUACAUGUAAUUGAUUUAUUAUUGUUGUUUUAAAGGAAUACAUAAACACAUAUUUUAAGAUUUUCCCAGUUUUUAAUUUUGUAAACAAUAAAUGUAAAUAAC